rnacentral:lncRNA from 1 species
UUGAGUUGUAAGUGUUGUGUCACUCAAAGCUUUUAAGCGUGAGUGCUGUGUAUCUUGAUUUAAGCUGUGAAGCAUAAUCAAGAGUUGUUUUUGAAGUGUGACUUCAAAGUGUCUUUAAUAUCACUGAGGUGAUUGAGGGGGAGUGAGUAGGAACUCUGAUCUUAGUGUAAGAUUGAAAUUGCAUUGGGUAGGGAUUAAGUGAUAAGUUGUAAACGGGUGAG